UAGGGUAACGUAUAAAUGGCCCAGAGUGGAGGGAGCUCUAAACCCAGUCCCACAAAUCGCCAUAGAAAGCCGUCAGCAAGCUCUCUUCGACGCUCAGUCUCGGCUUCAAUUCAAGAAAUUUACAAGACGAUGAAGGAGGCAUUGGAUUUUGUACUGUCCAUGGAAUUCUGGAGAAUGGCCCUGCGAUGGAGUCUCAGUCUUCUCAUCUCUUACUGGCACCUCCUCUUCGCCUCGACUGCUACUCCUCCUUCCAGAUCACCGCCUCCCUCAUCUCCGUCGAGGCCCGUCUGCAUCAUCACCGGUGCGACUUCUGGAUUGGGCGCCGCCGCGGCCCAUGCUCUCUCCGCUCGUGGCUUCUUUGUGGUUCUCGUUGGACGCUCAUCUCGCUUGUUAGAAAAGACGAUGAUGGAAAUUAAGAGGAAGAAUGAGAGUGCACAGUUGAAAGCUUUCGAGGUUGAUCUCUCAUCAUUCCAGUCGAUUCUUCGGUUUAAAGCCUCCCUACAGCAGUGGCUUUCCGACUCGCAAAUGCACUCUUCGAUCCAACUCCUAAUUAACAAUGCUGGAAUACUUGCUACGUCGUCUAGAUUCACCUCUGAAGGCUAUGAUCAGAUGAUGGCUACAAAUUACUUGAGUGCAUUUUUUCUUAGUAAACUAUUGUUACCGCUUCUCAGAAACAGCUCGAUUCCUUCCCGUAUAGUGAAUGUCACAUCUUUCACACAUCGAAGUGUAUCGAAUAUACAGGUUGACAAGGAGACUGUAUCUGGGAAGUGCUUCAGCAGAUUAAAAAGAUACCCAUAUGCUCAUGUAUAUGAGUAUUCCAAAUUGUUCCUACUGCUCUUCUCCUAUGAGCUUCAUCGCCAACUUGGCUUGAUGGACAUAUCUCGUCACGUCUCCGUCAUUGCUGUGGAUCCUGGUGUUGUUGAAACCAACAUCUUGCGAGAAGUUCCUCCAUGCCUAUCCAGUUUGGCCUAUAAAGUUUUGAGAAGUCUUUGGUUCUUGCAGUCACCUGAAGUUGGAAUCAGUUCCAUUCUCGAUGCAGCAUUUGCUCCACCAGAAACAUCUGGAGUUUACUUUUUUGGUGGAAAGGGCAACACUGUCAGCUCUUCUAUGCUUUCAUAUGAUGCCAAACUUGCACAGGAACUUUGGAGUACAUCGUCUGAUCUAUUUUUAGAGUCACAGCUUGCUUUCAAGGAAACCUCCACUUCUGUAUCAAACUUUGUAUCAUAGGUUUUAGUCUCCACUGAUCAGAGAAGCAAUGUCAGGCCCUCAGUGCUGUUCUAACCCACCAAUUAUCAAGACAAGCUGUGGUUCAGACUCUGCUGAAAAAUUUGGAGGCCUUACUGUCUAUGUCACAGGAUCUCCUAACUCCAAGCGUGCUAUUCUUCUUAUCUCUGAUGUUUUUGGAUAUGGAGCUCCCAACUUGAGGUAUUGAGCUAUGUCUACAUGGAUUCUGCUAUAACUUGACCUGUUUCUUCUUAUUUUUGAGAGAACUUGAUGUCUCAAUACAUUGUAACAAGUACAUGGAGGUGUUAUAGAAUUAUGUUCUGUUGUAUGCAUGAAAACAAAUACUCUGUGAUCAGGAUCCAGGAUAUUUUAUUCUGCUCCAAACUUAUUAGAACUAGAGGUUGCAGAAAUCAGUAUUAAUGGCAAUAUCUCUCGUUAUUUUGGAUUUCAUUUAUUGAAGAUGAUAAAGUGGAAGCGGUA